AUGGAGAAGGCGUCGCACGUGGCCACCGCCGACGGGAAGCAGGCAUCGCACAGGAUUGCGGUGGUCACUGGUGGAAACAAGGGAGUCGGCCUGGAGGUGUGCCGGCAGCUUGCUGUCCAAGGUGUGACUGUCAUUCUCACAGCCAGGGACGAGAAGAGAGGGAAGGAUGCCGUCGAGUCAAUUUGCCUUGAAUCCAACCUCUCCAAUGUUGUCUUCCACCAGCUCGACGUCCGGGAUGACAGCAGCGUCGCCGCUCUAGCGCGACACAUCGAGAGCAGAUACGGAGAGCUUGACAUCUUGGUUAACAAUGCAGCGGUUGUGGGAGUUGCAGCAGACGAGGAAGGCCUCAAAGCUCUGAACCUUGAUGCAGAGACAUGGACAUCUGGCAGAGCAGCCACUCUGCUCAAAGACGUGUUCCAGAAUACCUAUGAGGUGGCACGGGACUGUCUCGACACCAAUUACUAUGGAUGCAAACGGGUUACAGAAGCCCUCCUCCCUCUACUGAAACUAUCAAAGUUUGGAGCGAGGAUUGUCAAUGUCUCCUCCCUUGCGUCAGAGCUGAAGAGAAUGCCGAACGAGGAGCUACGGAAGGACCUGAGCAACAUCGACAUCUGGGACGAGGCGCGGAUCGAGGCGGUGCUCAACACCUUCAUGGAUGACCUGAAGAAUGGACGGCUGGAGGAGGCGGGGUGGCCGGCGAUGCUGCCGGCUUACAGCGUGUCGAAGAUGGUGAUCAACCUCUACACGAGGAUCCUGGCGAGGCGGCACCCGGAGAUGCGCGUCAACUGCGUGCGUCCUGGCUUCGUCAGGACCGACAUCAACUGGAACCUGGGGACCCUGACGCCGGAGCAGGGCGCGAGGGGCCCGGUCAUGCUGUCCCUGCUCCCUCAGGACGGGCCGACCGGGUGCUACUUCGAUCAGACGGAGAUGGUGAAUGUUUGGUAG
rnacentral:rRNA from 1 species